rnacentral:lncRNA from 1 species
AUUUGGUGCAAUUAACUCAAAUCUGUCACUAAGAUGGAAAGCCUUGAUAUCCUUUCUGACCUUUGAAAGUCACCUUGGAAGCUUCCAUGAUGGAAACUUAUAAGGUGAAGAAGCUGCCAGGCUCCUCUCCUCUGUCCACAAUCCGGUGUGCAUUACGUAAUUAGAUCCAAUCCAAAGCCUUGAAAUAAACUUGGAUUUGAAUUGCAAAAGAGCAGGAAAACAGUUGGAUAAUGAAAGACCCUUAUUUCAGAGAACAUUAGAAAGGAUGGGACACUAGAAGGUAGAAGAUGAUUGUUUUAAAACCGUAAGCAGAUUUGCCUGACCGUACCUUCCAUUCCCGGUGAUAGUCACAGGUUAGUGGUACAACACGAGUGUCUUUCACAAAAGCCAUAAUAACCAUCUCCGACACGACUGUUACUGUAACCAGACUUCCCGGGGUUCAUUUGGGAGUUUUGUAGAGUACCAAGCUCACAGUGGCUCUCCAAACAAGGGCCAGGAAAAGAAAUGGCUUUUGUAUAUGUUCACAAAACACCGCUCUGCCAUAGGCAGCAUUCCUUGGUAUAGGCAAGAAAGGAGAGAUUUCCAGUUGGAAACCAAUCCACAAUUGUCUCGUGCCUCUAGCGGCUAUUCGUGGCAAUUCUGAUGGUUUAAAGGUAAAAUGAAUUCAUCCUGAGCCACUAUUAAGGGCAAUCCCUAUAGAAAAGGGUGGCAUGUCUUCAUACCUGAAAGUUCUUUGGAAGAGAUGAGCACCUCGAAGAAUAUCUCCACCCCCAAAAGCUAACGAGUAAAGACCAGUGCUUAUAAAUGUGGGACUCAAUGUAAGGGAUCCAUCACAAAUAACCUUGAAAGACAAAGAGCAGGAGGUGGAAAAGAGACAGAGUUAAAGGCAGUCUCAGCAUGGAUGAGUGUUAAGACAUGCUCACAUCCCUCCUGCUCAACCUGGGGAUUGUGCAUGUCUAAGACUGUAUUUUCAGUAAAUUCAUCACACUGGGAAUCCACUGAUUGGUGGUUUGGCAGUGAUAUAAUAGUGAUGGAAGCUUAACUGAAUCUUUCAGUUUUGAAUCUCUCAGACCAACAAAUAAAACCUAGAAAGAUUGCUAUUUUCAGUGCACAACACAUACACAAAGGUGUACACAUCCUAUGUUAGUAAUUCUCUGGGAAAACAAAAUGUAUAACUGUCAGAAACUUUCCAGUGUAUUCUGUCAGUGUUUUAGAGAUAAAAUUUGGUGGGGGGGGGGCAAGAAAGUCAACAUGCCCAUGAUUGCUAACUGUGUUAAAAUUAUGAUAAUCAGAAUUACUAUUAGAAAUGCUUGUGUAAAAUAUCUUCUCCAGUACCAAUGCAUCAAUGCUAUCUGAAUUUAACUGUCAAUUUGUGCUCAUUAAAUAUUUUUAUAAUCUGUGGUGUUGUACUAUUAUCCUGAAAUAGUGACCACACACCUGAUAUGACCAGGAAACAAACUGGCCUCAUUGAAGUGUUAGAAGUGGAAGAAGUGUUAUUUAUAGUCUUCUGCCAAAGAAAAUUGUUCAAUGAUCUGUAAAAUGUAGAUUAACUUCUUGUAUUGUGAAUGUGACUGUAAGAAAUGCUCACUCCAUCAUCUAUCUUUUGAAAAUGAAUCUUUCUUUGUGUUUCUAACAGAGUAUGGGAAAUAUUUUAAGCCGAUGAAAUACACAGAAGUCUUAGAAAAAGAAAAGCUGUAUUUGAAUCUGAAAAUUCAAUGACACAUUUAUCAGUCUUUGACUCAAAUUCUUACAUCACAUUAGAUUAUAUUUGGAGACCUUAAACACACCAACAUUAAUGGCAGCUCUUGUCUCACAGAAAAAGCAUUAAAAACUUUCUCUUCAAGAGCACUAAGUGGAAAGAAAUUACUGUCUAAUUUUCUCACCUAAUCAUGCCAUACUCCUUGACGCAGAGGUCUACCAAUGUUGCACAGAAACUUAAUAGACUGUGUAAGCCAAUUUAAUCUGUGCAGUUAGCAAGAACUAGCCAUUAAACUAUAUAUCUAAAUGUUUUGUAAAUAAACUUUGGAUUACUACAGUUUUGCUCAAACUUCUGUCUUUUAAAAUAAUUAGAGUUCAUUUGAAUUUUUUAAAUAAUCUGUUAUAUUAGAUUUUGCGUUAUUGACUGUGAUUCAAUGUACACUCAGCCAUAUUCCUGUGGGAAAAUCAGCCCUAUUGACUUUCUUGGCAUGAGCCAGAAGCUCUUAGUUUCUCUAAGGACUUUAAGUAUAAAGACAAAAAAAAUCAAAAUGAAAUGCUAGUAAAGAAAUAAGAAGCCUAUUGUAUAAAAUGUAUUUUUAAAACUCUUAAGAUUCAUGUGACUUACACUGCCUGUUAAUCUAGUCUCUUUGUGGAAUAACCACAGCAUAUUCGUUAAGACAGAAACACCAAAUAUUUGUGAUCUUUGUAUAGCACCUUGUUAUAAUAUGUGAUUUCAAAUGGUAAACAUCUCUGUUGUGGUCACUUGCACCCACAGAAGAAUAAGUUCUUGCUGUUAUGUAAAACCCAGCUCUCAGAAUUGAGACUCCCUACAGCUGCUGUAUCACCAAUAAACAAGAAUUAAUUGUGAAAAAAAUAGUUUUUAAGUUUAUGAUCACUGUGCAUUUUGUUAACAAAUUCAGAAAAUUUUAUUUUUACCAGAAAUUCUCUCAGCCAGUAAAUACAACUGCUGAUUUCAACCAUUCUAUCAUUUCUGUGGUUUCUAUAUUCUUGUUCUAACUACCAAAAAAAUUGGAAGCUCGGUGCAAAGUAUGUCCUAACAAAAAUACAAUAAAUGACUUUUCCUGCAUGCUGCUUGAGAUAUAUUGUAAUUUGAAAUGUCUUAUCAAAAAAGUACCUAUUUCAUAACCCAAACUGUAACUGGCAAUAUUUCUUAUGUGUAUAACUGAUGGUAUGUCAAUAUCAAAAAACAAACGUCUGCCAUACAUGUAUGUUAUAUGUGCUGUUUAAUCGUGUUAAGCUGUAAUCUGUGAGAAUGUCAUUGCCUGAACUAGUUGUGUACAAAUCAUUGUCUUCACUGUUUUCCUAAUCUCACCAUAUUUCCUAACACUGAAAUAUAAAUGUUUGUAAAUUAGUCAUUCAUAUUCAAUUAACUUUUAUGUACUUUUUUGUGUGUGGCUCCAUUAACUAAUAUAAACAAAGGAAAAUGAAAGUAUUCAUUGUUGUGGGUCCAGGGACAUUUUAGUCAAUGGUCAAAAUUUAUUUUCAUUCAUUCAACAAAUAUCUACUAUGUG